CAGAUCCUGGAAACAUGUUUCACAUGACUACAGAUAUCCUAGACCAUCAAGCGGAGUCUACCAACUGUGUACUCUACAGACUAACACAUAAUGAAGGCACACUCUGGGUAACUCAGUUCUGUGCAAUUCCAGGCAAAGAAAAGGAAAGACUUCAUUUACAGUAUUUCCUUGGAGAUGUGAAUGGUCCUGAAAGUCAGAACAUAUCCAAACCUUGUGUUAAGGGUGCAACAACAACAAACCAACAAACCAGCGAGCCAACGAACCGACAGACAAACUUCAAUGUGGUGAGACUGGAGAGUUUGUAGAACUUCGGCUAAUACUUCAUGUGAUAGGCCACGGCACUCCUCCAUCCUUAGGUGAGAAUCCAAUAACCAGAAAAAUGCUUUAGAAAAUUAAAGUCUAUCUUUUAUAGCACCUAAAA